GUGCCUUGCCGCUGCCCGAACGCUCAGUGGCCGCACAUGCCUGGUCGUGGCCAGGCGUUGUUUAGGGGUCACUAGCUUCACACGCUUUUCUGGCACGCGAUCAGAUUUCACUAUGUCCACAGUUUCCCCCUGUGCACACCGCUCCCUUCUGGCCCUUCCCUCUCCUCCCCUGCGAGGAGGGCGUGCCCAGCACUCACUGAACUUUUGAACGCUGGGGGUUCAGCGCUGGCCGGGGAUAUGCUCAGGUGGGGAGGAACCGGCCAGCAGCGUGGCCGGGACUGUGAUGCUUUAGUCCACGCACCGGACAGACCUGAGGCUGCAGCGCUGGCUGAUGUGGCUUUGUCUGUGGGACUGGUCUGUCACGUGUGUCUGACCCCCAGUGUCCCCACAGGAGCACUGUAUCACAACGCUGCUGCCUCAGACAGAAGGGCCCCGGACCUUAAGGACCUUGUUUUUAGUUCCACUGUAGGUACAGACCGGAUCCUUCUUUUUGACUCCCAUUUGUAGUUACACCCAAAGGUCAACUGGAGGGUGCCGUCUAUGUCCUGGCCUCACGGCUCUGUCAAGUCCACAUCCGCACCUGCCAGGUGGGUGUCAGGAAAGGUCACUGUGCACAUCGGAGACCUUGCUUUCAGCUUCCCUUGUCUGUCACCGGGUGCUUCCAGAUCAUUCACACUCUGUUCCUGUUGACAGGAGAAAAAGGAGAUUUGAAUUUGCAUCGUGCAGUGAGCCUGUUCUGUCACUGGGUGGGCUCUACUGCAGUCCCUCCCCAGGUUUCCGAUUACAGCUUUGGUAGUGGUGCUCUGGGCAUGUGACUUCUCACUGCUGGAACUUGGUGAAUGGGAUGUGCAGAAUAUUAUCUAGGAAUGAAGAAGAGGCAUCGUGUUGGGGAACCAGCUCAAGGAUGGCAUUACCAGACCUGGUCUUAGGUCUAAUGGGUGGAGCUGAAUGAAGCGGUUGGUUCCAUAGGUCAAAAGCAGCCCAGUGUGAACCAUCCCACCUUUUCAUCCUGCUGAAUGUAUGCAGAGUCACGGAGUCUUUCACUGAGAGAGCAUGGCUGGGCUGUCAUUUUAUCAGUGUCGACAGCCUCUCUCAUUCCUUUUCAGUCACCUAUUCAGACUCAGUUACAACAAAUACUUGUUGAAAGUGUUAGGGAACCUCUCUGAGGUCCGCCUCAGUGAGGACCCCAGGGAGUCCAGUGCCUACACCUGCUUGAACUCAUCACUCUCUUUGUUUUCUCAUUUUUUUUUAGUUGUAGAUGGACACAAUACCUUUAUUUAUUUAUUUCAUGUUGAGGAUCCAACCCUGUGCCUCACACAUGCCAGGCAAGUGCUCUACCACUGAGCCCCAGCCCCAGCCUGAACUGGUCAUUCUUGGAAUCUCAUCUCUGAAAACCCUCAGAGGAGCGAUGGCACAGACAGCUAACGGAAGCAAAGACCAGCAUGGGAGGGCCUAUGUGCCCUGCAGAGGAGUGUAGGAUACUGUCACACAGUGUCUCCCAAAGUGGAAGAGCCUUGGGGAGUCUCCCACCUGCCCGGAGGCGGCUUGACCUAGGGCAGAGGGAAGUGGGAUGAUAGCUUCCCCAAGGAUGUGCACAAGGAAAGCAUACACAGCGAGCUGCGUCUCUUCAUUAUGCAGAAUGCUUACUGACCUCUCAAAUGGGAGAGCAACUGGCAGUCACCUUCCCUCAGCAGGUCCUGAUGUUUUGCUUAUCACACAGAAGGCCACUGCCAGUCCCCGUAAACCCUGGGGGAAGGGUGCACACCUGCAGGCCCGCUCCUCCUGCUAGUUGUCCCUGGAAAGGCCUUUUCCUUAUUCUCAGAAAUGGAAGGUCUUUCCGCUGGGAAUUCAUGCCGUCCCCCUCCCUCUGCCAGAUAGCUUUCCCAAUCACUUUCUGACACGCUGCACACACUGUUGUGGAAUUCCUGGGAAAUGCAGUGUUGGGGAAGUCCAGGAGUAACCUGAAGCCCUGUCCUGGUGUGUGGUCACAGGGGAUGCUGAGGGACAGGCUGCUGUGUGGGUUGGGCCAUGACUCAGCCCAGCACAGCCUCCCACCCACCAUCCAGCAAUGCUCUGUCCAGGGGGUGGAAGAGAUCGCUGGCCACAGCAAUAAGCAUGAGGUCAAGCUGCAGACCGUGAAGAUCAGGAACAUGUGCGGCCCCCAACGGCUCCAGGGGGACUCCAGCUGAGUCAUCCAAGGUGACACAGGUCAAAAUGAGGACACAACUGCCUGUCUCGCUCAGAAGUGUAUGCGAACAUCAGUGUCUGACACAGAAUCUGAGCUGGCUGUGCUCACUGGCUUUUUAAACACUGCUUCUGCAAAUACAGAGGACCACAGACUUUGGAAAAUGAAUGUCAUUUUCUUCUUGGAAUGGAAGUGGCUCUUACUUCCACUCACCCAGAAAGGCAGAGCUCAGGUGUCUGGAAGACAGGACUGCUGGGCUCGCCACAGCUGCUUGCAUGUCCUCCAACCCAGUGUCACUAAAUGGCCUCCUGAACUGUGUCACUCCACUGGACCUCCCCUGUCCUGCAGCAGGGCUGGCAGUGUGAGCUGGCUCAGGCAAGGGUGGGCAGUCCCACCGUGGCCCCCACAGGCAUGGCACAGCCACCCAGCCGAUGGGGCCUGCCUCCACCCUCCAUGAAGCUGGUGCUGGACACACCACUGUAGACACCUUGAGGCCUGUGCUGAUUGUCCUGAGGGCUGAGAUGCUGGCCUCUGCUGCCCCCGUACCAGGGCCAGAGCUGCACUACUGAAACCGCUUCCCCAGCAUGGGGGGGCACCUGACUGACAUGAUCUCCCAGAGCCUUGCAAAGAGCCAGCAGCAUCCGGCAUCCUGCCCCACACGAAGGAACGAAGAAGGCAGAGGCUGUUAAGACAAAAAGUCCUCCUUCUUUUUUGGGGGGUGACCCAAUGCUGGGAUUUUCCCUUGAGGUAGAUGGGCAGAGUCAGCUCACUGACCAGCCCUGGGAGGAGGUGAUGAGCUCCACAGGCUUCUCCCAGGGAAGGUGGCCUGAGCUUUCUGACCUGCACACUGCUCUUCCUGCUUGGCCACGCACAGGAAGCAGGCUAGUCCUGCAAUUCUAUGCUGUGCUUCAUCCUUGAAAUUCACCAUGUUUCUUAUUUAACCUAAGGGGCAAUGUAAGAUUUCAAGCCUGCACAAUAGAGAUGUUUAAAAAAAAAAAAGUUCUCUGAGACCUCAGCAGCAACCCUGCUAAGACCCUUAGCAUCAAAUCUCUCUGGACUAGAGGCUGGGACCGCCCCCCCAACACACACACACACACACACACACACACACACACACAGGCUGGCUCUGAAUCAGUCCCUCCGGGAGGCUUCUGUGCACAGGACAGAUACCCCAGCUGCUCCUGUGGAGGGUGGAACUGCAGGAAAGUCCCCCAGCAUCACUCCUGGAGUGUGUCACAGCCCUGGGACCAGACUCACACGGGCUCUGGCUGAGAGGGCUUCCAGGGAUGGGGAUGAGGAGCCAAAGUAUCCUUCUGCAUUGAAAGUAGGAGGUCGUACAAGUUUCAACUAGAUAUGAUUUACAUAGCAUUCUCCCCUGGAGAACAUGACUUUUUUCUGGACCUUAUACAUGCCUGAACAAAAAUAUUUUGAAGUUUCCUCACUAUUCAUAGGAAUUAAAAAUACAAAAUUACUUCCCUAUGUGCACAUUUAAUGUGGAUGUUAGCUUAUUCAAAAUUAAAUAUAAAAUUUCAUUAUGCCAGUUGCUAUGAAGAAGCUUCCUUUCAGUCACAGGGAAUUAAUUCUUUGGUUGUUAA
rnacentral:lncRNA from 1 species